GUAACAAGGUUUCCGUAGGUGAACCUGCGGAAGGAUCAUUAUCGAGAGCGGGGCUUCGCGCCCCCGGGGGGUUUCGGCCCCCCACCUCUUCAACCCGUGUGGACCGACCUCUGUUGCUUUGGCGAGCGCCGGGGCGCCUCUGGCGCCUCCGGCCCCGGCCCCUCACCGGGCCGGUGCGUUCUCGUCGGAGCCCCGUUUCCAUUCUGGUUUUGAGCGGCGUCCGAGCGGAACGAUGAAUUGAAGCAAAAACUUUCAACAACGGAUCUCUUGGUUCUGGCAUCGAUGAAGAACGCAGCGAAAUGCGAUAAGUAAUGUGAAUUGCAGAAUUCAGUGAAUCAUCGAAUCUUUGAACGCACAUUGCGCCCCUUGGUAUUCCGAGGGGCAUGCCUGUUCGAGCGUCAUUGCACCUCUCAAGCACUGCUUGGUAUUGAGCCUUUCGCCGCGAGGCGUGCUCGAAAGAUAGUGGCGGUCCCGGGAGACCUUCGAGCGCAGUAAAGCAUUUUCCGCUCCGAAGACAGUCGCCGGUGGCCCAGCCGUGAAACCCCCCGUUCGUCCGCGAACGACCCGACAAAUUGACCUCGGAUCAGGUAGGGAUACCCGCUGAACUUAAGCAUUC
rnacentral:rRNA from 1 species